rnacentral:sRNA from 1 species
UCGAAGGAGACGGUGCGAUACCCGCGGAU